rnacentral:rRNA from 1 species
CCUAGUAACGGCGAGUGAAGCGGCAACAGCUCAAAUUUGAAAUCUGGCCCUAGGCCCGAGUUGUAAUUUGUAGAGGAUGUUUCUGGUGCGGUGCCUUCCGAGUUCCCUGGAACGGGACGCCAUAGAGGGUGAGAGCCCCGUCCGGUCGUGCGCUAAGCCUAUGUGAAACUCCUUCGACGAGUCGAGUAGUUUGGGAAUGCUGCUCUAAAUGGGAGGUAUACGUCUUCUAAAGCUAAAUACCGGCCAGAGACCGAUAGCGCACAAGUAGAGUGAUCGAAAGAUGAAAAGCACUUUGAAAAGAGGGUUAAAUAGUACGUGAAAUUGCUGAAAGGGAAGCGCUUAUGACCAGACUUGGGCUAGGUGAAUCAUCCGGCGUUCUCGCCGGUGCACUUUGCCUGUCCAGGCCAGCAUCAGUUCACGUCGGGGGAUAAAGGCGUCGGGAAUGUGGCUCCCUCGGGAGUGUUAUAGCCCGGCGUGUAAUACCCUGACGAGGACUGAGGUACGCGCUCCGCAAGGAUGCUGGCGUAAUGGUCAUCAGCGAC